AUUGAACGCUGGCGGCAGGCCUAACACAUGCAAGUCGAACGAGGGGCAGACGGGUGAGUAAUGUCUGGGAAACUGCCUGAUGGCGGGGGAUAACUACUGGAAACGGUAGCUAAUACCGCAUACCCUCAGAUGUGCCCAUAUGGGAUUAGCUAGUAGGUGGGGGAAUGUAUAACCUAGGCGACGAGCCCUAGCUGGGCUGAGAGGAUGACCAGCCACACUGGAACUGAGACACGGUCCAGACUCCUACGGGAGGCAGCAGUGGGGAAUAUUGCACAAUGGGCGCAAGCCUGAUGCAGCCAUGCCGCGUGUAUGAAGAAGGCCUUCGGGUUGUAAAGUACUUUCAGCGGGGAGGCGUUACCCGCAGAAGAAGCACCGGCUAACUCCGUGCCAGCAGCCGCGGUAAUUC
rnacentral:rRNA from 1 species